rnacentral:rRNA from 1 species
GAUGAACGCUGGCGGCGUGUCUAAUACAUGCAAGUCGAGCGAACAGACGAGGAGCUUGCUCCUCUGACGUUAGCGGCGGACGGGUGAGUAACACGUGGAUAACCCACCUAUAAGACUGGGAUAACUUCGGGAAACCGGAGCUAAUACCGGAUAAUAUAUUGAACCGCAUGGUUCAAUAGUGAAAGACGGUUUUGCUGUCACUUAUAGAUGGAUCCGCGCCGCACUAGCUAGUUGGCAAGGUAACGGCUUACCAAGGCAACGAUGCGUAGCCGACCUGAGAGGGUGAUCGGCCACACUGGAACUGAGACACGGUCCAGACUCCUACGGGAGGCAGCAGUAGGGAAUCUUCCGCAAAGGGCGAAAGCCUGACGGAGCAACGCCGCGUGAGUGAUGAAGGUCUUCGGAUCGUAAAACUCUGUUAUUAGGGAAGAACAAAUGUGUAAGUAACUAUGCACGUCUUGACGGUACCUAAUCAGAAAGCCACGGCUAACUACGUG